rnacentral:tRNA from 1 species
GCAGAUGUAGUCUAAUACAAAACGUUGGAUUGUGAUUCCAAAAACAGGGGUGUAAGACCCCUCAUCCGCA